ensembl:lncRNA
AGCCCCCCCGCACCUCUCUGAUUCAGAGGGGUUGGGUUGAAUGUGGUAGACACAUUUCAGUUGAAGGCAUUCAGUUGUACAACUGAGUAGGUAUCCCCCUUUCCCCAACUGAGUAGGUAUCCCCCUUUCCCCAACUGAGUAGGUGUCCCCCUUUCCCUUUCCCCAACUGACUAGGUAUCCCCCUUUCCCCAACUGAGUAGGUACCCCCUUUCCCCAACUGACUAGGUAUCCCCCUUUCCCCAACUGAGUAGGUAUCCCCCUUUCCCCAACUGAGUAGGUAUCCCCCUUUCCCCAACUGAGUAGGUGUCCCCCUUUCCCUUUCCCCAACUGACUAGGUAUCCCCCUUUCCCCAACUGAGUAGGUAUCCCCCUUUCCCCAACUGAGUAGGUAUCCCCCUUUCCCCAAAUGAGUAGGUAUCCCC